rnacentral:rRNA from 1 species
ACGAACGCUGGCGGCGUGCCUAAUACAUGCAAGUCGAGCGGAAUGAUGAAGAAGCUUGCUUCUUCUGAUUUUAGCGGCGGACGGGUGAGUAACACGUGGGCAACCUACCUUGUAGAUUGGGAUAACUCCGGGAAACCGGGGCUAAUACCGAAUAAUCCAUUUUGCUUCAUGGCGAGAUGUUAAAAGGCGGCUUCGGCUGUCACUACGAGAUGGGCCCGCGGCGCAUUAGCUAGUUGGUAGGGUAAUGGCCUACCAAGGCGACGAUGCGUAGCCGACCUGAGAGGGUGAUCGGCCACACUGGGACUGAGACACGGCCCAGACUCCUACGGGAGGCAGCAGUAGGGAAUCUUCCACAAUGGACGAAAGUCUGAUGGAGCAACGCCGCGUGAGUGGAGAAGGUUUUCGGAUCGUAAAACUCUGUUGUAAGGGAAGAACACGUACGAGAGUAACUGCUCGUACCUUGACGGUACCUUAUUAGAAAGCCACGGCUAACUACGUG